rnacentral:rRNA from 1 species
AAAAAAACUUCGGUUCUUUUUUCUAGUGGCGGACGGGUGAGUAACGCGUAAGAACCUACCCCUUGGAGAGGGAUAGCCACUGGAAACGGUGAUUAAUACCUCGUAUGCUGAGGAGUGAAAGACCGUAAGGUCGCCAAGGGAUGGGCUUGCGUCUGAUUAGCUAGUUGGGUGGGGUAAAGGCCUCCCAAGGCGAUGAUCAGUAGCUGGUCUGAGAGGACAAUCAGCCACACUGGGACUGAGACACGGCCCAGACUCCUACGGGAGGCAGCAGUGAGGAAUUUUCCGCAAUGGGCGAAAGCCUGACGGAGCAAUGCCGCGUGGAGGAGGAAGGCCUGUGGGUCGUAAACUCCUUUUCUCAGAGAAGAAGUUCUGACGGUAUCUGAGGAAUAAGCAUCGGCUAACUCUGUGCCAGCAGCCGCGGUAAUACAGGGGAUGCAAGCGUUAUCCGGAAUUAUUGGGCGUAAAGCGUCCUGAGGUGGCUUACCCAGUCGACUGUGAAAGCUCAAGGCUUAACCUUGAAACGGCAGUCGAAACUUGUAAGCUUGAGUACGGUAGGGGCAGAGGGAAUUCCCGGAGGAGAGGUGAAAUUCGUAGAUAUCGGGAGGAAGGCCAAAGGCGAAAGCACUCUGCUGGGCCGAUUACUGACACUGACAGACGAAAGCUAGGGGAGCGAAAGGGAUUAGAUACCCCUGUAGUCCUAGCCGUAAACGAUGGAUACUAAGUGUUGCGCGACUCAAAACGUGCAGUGCUGCAGCUAACGCGGUAAGUAUCCCGCCUGGGGAGUAUGCCCCCCAGGGUGAAAACUCAAAAGAAUUGA